UAGGAGACGUGAAGUGUUUUAAUAGCUAAAUGAAAUUUGGCUCCAAACUUGUAUCGUCUGCUGACUGACACUCUCCGAGCCGACAAACAGCUGAGGAACCAGCCGACUGAGCAUGCGCACUUACGGUCCGAUCCGAGGCUCACUCCGACUCUCCGGUCCGUCAGCCGAUCCAAUCCCCGAGCUCACGAGGGAGCGCCUGGUCGCGACCUGCCGUAAACUGCUGCGGCUGUAGCUGUUGUCAGUGGGCGGACCGGAAACACGAGCGCUUAGACCGGAAGAAGCAGCGCAACUGCCGGGUCACGUGAGUUCCCUGCUCUUUCCUCUGAAAGUGUUUUUAGUUGAACAGUGUAAGAAGUAAAAAUGAAUUAACACAAGGGGACUUAAAGACUCAAUUAAGCGCAAAGCUGUUUUUCUGUUCUGGGGCAACAGGCAAAUUGUUUUUUCCCCAGGAAACUCAUUCUGAGGAAGCUGAUGUGAAAUUUUGGUCACAACAAUGGGGAGAUAAAUUUUUUUAGUCAUGGUACAAACAGGUCGGCUAUUUGCUUCAACAGAUGUCCUGGUAGGCUUUUGUGCAACAUGGCAGACAAAAAUGGACAUUGGGUUGCCUGUGUGUUAAAUACCGAUAAUACUCUGAUUAUUUUGGUUAAUGUUUAUGGAUACAACAAUGAUCAAGAGAAUAAGAACCUGCUGCAUCAAAUUUCUACAGUUAUAAAGGAACUUUACACCAAAUUCCCUACUGAUUAUAUAGUAGUUGGAGGUGAUUCAAUGUGACUCCUGAUGAAUGGUUGGAUAGAUGGCCUUCAAAAUUUUCAAGAGAACAUAAAAACCCAAUAUUUGAAAAUUUCGCUAAUGAUACUAAAUUAAUAGAUGUGUGGAGAUUGUUAAACAAAGAUGUAAAACAAUUCACCUGGCACAAACCUAAUGGUCAAAGCAGGUCACGUAUUGAUUAUUGGUUGGUAUCCAACUCAAUUUUACAAUAUGUUAAGGAAACAGUCAUCUCUAACAGUCCAAGUUUAAGUUUAAUUUCAACAUUUUGUUUUGUUGUAAAGGGUGACAGGGCUUGGCUUCCUUUUGGUAGUGGACCAUUGAUCAGGAAGCCAAGCCCUAUAUAUAUGAUACAAUCUCACUGCACUUAGCCUAAUCCUUCAUUGCCCUGAAGAAUUCUGUGGUGUACGGACCUCCUCUCCAAGGAAAGAAAAUGCAGAGAAGACUCACCACUCAGCAGGCCUUGGAAAUGAUCCUGAGGGAAGUCGACCCUUGUGACUCGGAUGGAGAAGACCUAGGAGUUCAGCCGGAUUCGGACUCAGAGCUGUCUGAUCAGUCUUCCGAUGAGGAGACUGCUUCUCCACCGAAAAAGAGAGCUUGUUUGGGGACUGAGACAGCGAAAGAUGGCACAGUGUGGCGUGAAGAACAGGUGAGGGCCCGUCUCCCUUUCACCCCGAUAGAAGCGUACGCUGCAGAUGGAGAGCCAACGGCUAAGGCCAGGAGAAGGAUCUCGAGUCGCCUUCAGAGCUUCCUGUGUUUCAUCACUCUUGACAUGCUUCAUAGCAUUCAAGAAUGGACUAUUCAACAUGCACAGCAAACGGAGCAUGUUCAUUGGUUCAUGGACCUCCCAUGGAUACCAUGGCAGUGCCAGGAUUGUGAGUGAUUGCUGAAAAUGUUGAAAUGUACUCACUCACUUUUUAUUAUUAUUUGUAAAUAUGUGUACAAAUGGUUGGUUUUUUGUACUGUUUUUAUCAAUAAAUCUCAGCAACAAAGGACAUACACCCAUGUGU
ensembl:lncRNA